AUCGCUUCUCGGCCUUUUGGCUAAGAUCAAGUGUAAUAACUUCAAAUACAUAGUCACUUAGGCAUUUUGUUUUAAUCUAAAUUUCUUGAGUUUCUUCACUUUAA
rnacentral:snRNA from 1 species